ACGCGUGAAGUUUCCCGCCUGGGGAUUACGCAUGCAAAUGUGAAACUCAAAGGAAUUGACGGGGACCCGCACAAGCGGUGGAGUAUGUGGUUUAAUUCGAUGCAACGCGAAAAACCUUACCAAGGUUUGAAAUCAUUUCAAAACUCUUUGAAAGAAGAGCCUCCUUCGGGAUGAAAUGACAGGUGGUGCAUGGCUGUCGUCAGCUCGUGUUGUGAAAUGUCAAGUUAAGUCUUGUAACGAGCGCAACCCAUGUCUUUUGUUGCUGUUUUCAGUGCUUAAAAGAGACUGCCGCUCUACAGCGGAGGAAGGUGUGGAUGAUGUCAAGUCAGCAUGCCCCUUAUAUCUUGGGCUACACACGUACUACAAUGGUAGGGACAAUGAGUCGCAAACCUGCGAAGGCUAGCCAAUCUCAAAAACCCUAUCUCAGUUCGGAUUGUACUCUGCAACUCGAGUGCAUGAAGGUGGAAUCGCUAGUAAUCGCUGGUCAGCAUACAGCGGUGAAUACGUUCCCGGGUCUUGUACACACUGCCCGUCACACCAUGGAAGUCGACUCUUCCCUAAGUCGUUACUCGAACCGUAAGGACGAGGAUGCCGAAGGCAGGGUUGGUGACUGGGGUGAAGUCGUAACAAGGUAACC
rnacentral:rRNA from 1 species